rnacentral:rRNA from 1 species
UACGAAGGGUGCAAGCGUUACUCGGAAUUACUGGGCGUAAAGCGUGCGUAGACGGUUAUUUAAGUCGGGUGUGAAAGCCCCCGGGCUCAACCUGGGAAUUGCGCUCGAGACUGGGCUGCUUGAGUUCGGGAGGGGAGCGUGGAAUUCCCAGUGUAGAGGUGAAAUUCGUAGAUAUUGGGAAGAACACCGGUGGCGAAGGGCGGCGCCUCUGGGACCGAGACUGACGCGAGGCGCGAAGACGGUG